rnacentral:lncRNA from 1 species
UUGAGCGAACAACAAGCAUAUCUGCAGGCAAUGAAGAAUUUCAGGAUGCCAUCAGGAGGGCUGUACCUGACGGGCACACAUUUAAAGGCUUCCCCAUACAUUUUGUGUAUAGAAAUGCAAGGCGUGCAUUUGCCACUUGUCUUCGGUCUCCUUUUUGUGAAGAAAUAAUCUGUUGUCGUGGAGACCAGGUGCGACUGGCAGUUCGCGUUCGAGUGUUUACCUACCCUGAGUCUGCAUGUGCUGUUUGGAUCAUGUUUGCUUGUAAAUAUCGCUCAGUAUUAUAGGACUAACAUUUCCUAAGAAUUAUUCCUGUGUUUUAUUAGAAUUGUAUAUGAGCAGCUGUGUGUAGGUUUCUUAAUUUAAAAUCAGCCUUUUGGAUGUCAUUGUUUUACAUAGAUCUGACUGGUAAUAUUUUAAAAUAUCAUGUAUGUGCUUAAAAAUUAAGGAUAAAAAUUUGUAUUGAAUUUAGUAUGAAUUAAGUGUAUAAUAAUAAAUGACACUGUGUUCUGAGGGACUCGGUGUUUAAAUGUGAAUGUAAGAUCUGUUACUUUACAUCAGUAAGUAAAGAGAUUUGUCUACUGGCUUAAGCCAUAGUUAAUUCAAAAUGAUCCCUAUUUUUCAUAAAGGAAAGAUUAUUUUACACAAAUUAGGAAAAAUUAGCCUCAUAAUAGUUUAUUUAUUACAUAGAUGAAAAUAUAUUUUGCUAAAUUAUAAUUUUUGUGUGAUACUAGGGGUAUAUGAGGCUUUCCAGAAGUCUGUGUGAAGACUUUGAUGUAAGAAUAGAAAAAAGCUGGUGUGGUGGCACACACUUUUAAUUCCACAACAGGUCUACAUAGCAAACUCCAGGCCAGUCAGGGCCACACAGUGAGAACCUGACUCCAAAACACAAACAACAACAACAAAAGGAAUGUAAUAACCAAAAAGCAUAAGUGUUAAUAAUGAAUCUCACAUGAAUAUGCAGAAUGUGAGUAAUUUAUGGAUAUUAUUAAAAUUAAUUGAGCACUUUAGAAAAUACUUAUUAUACUUCCUUGUUACAAUGCUGGUUGUUCUUUAUUUUUUUGUUGUGAUAAAAUCACCAGCCUACUGGCAGGCCAUGGUGGUGCACACUUUUAAUUCCAGCACUAGGGAGGCAGAAACACGCGGAUCUCAACUUCGAGAGCAGCCUGGUCUACAGAGCUAGUUCCAGGAUAGCCAGGGUUAUACGGAGAAACUCUGCCUCAAAAAACCCAAUAAAGAAACGGAUCAGCCUAUAAGUGACUAAUGUCAUUGACAAAAAUCAUAAGAGGCCAUUGAGAAAGCAUGUGAGUUUAUAUAUUUAUCUUAAAUUGAGCAAAUUUAAAUGUUUUAAGAGAGCAAAGAUAAGCAUUAAAAAGUAAUUCAACUUACUCUAAGUAACGAAUGAUGAAUAUUUUGACUGCCCAUUCUGUGUUUCUGUGCAGAGGGUUUUAUUGUCUUAUUUUGGUGAUACUAGGAAUUAGAUCAAGGGCUUCCUACAUGCUAGGCAAACAUUACCACUGAGCUAUACCCACAGUGUCUCAGUUAUGUAGCCCUGGCUGGCCUAGAACUCCCAGAAGGUUGCUUGCCUCUGUGUACAGUUUCUUAGUUUAGCUGCUUUAUCCACUGGUCUUCUUAAGAAAUAAGUGUAUGCCAGCCCACUAUCCAAAUUAUUUAUUCUUUUCAUCACUUGCUGUUGCAAAUAAAAUGAUUUUAUUUAUUU